rfam:Tncinocarpus reesii 1704 scaffold_1 genomic scaffold, whole genome shotgun sequence.
GGCACUGUGGCGGAGUGGUUAACGCGUUGGACUUGAAUCCCCCUACGAGAUCCAAUCUCUUCGGAGGCGCAGGUUCGAAUCCUGCCGGUGUCG